GGAUAGCUCAGUCAGUAGAGCAUGAGACUCUUAAUCUCAGGGUUGCAGGUUUGAGCCCCACGUUGUGCA
rnacentral:tRNA from 1 species